GCUAGCUCGGGCCUGGAGAAGCCGGGGCCGGAGCAGAGGGAGGAGGAAGAGAAGGAAAAGGAGAGGGGGUCGCAGUGGGCGCUCGGCUCUCGGGAGCCGGGCUCAUGGACGGGUGAGGCGGCCGUGUGCGCAGACAGUGCUCCAGCCGCGCGCGCGCCCCAGGCCCUGGCCCGGGCCUCGGUUCCAGAAGGAAGAGCAGCCCGCCAAGGCGCGGAGGAGAGCGGGCUGCCUCGCAGUCCGAGCCGGAGAGGGGGCACGAGCCGCGCCGGCCCCGGCCGGGCCUCCGAAACCAUGAACUUUCUGCUC
rfam:Spalax judaei mRNA for Vascular Endothelial Growth Factor (VEGF gene), 5'TTR